UACGAAGGGGGCUAGCGUUGCUCGGAAUCACUGGGCGUAAAGGGUGCGUAGGCGGGUCUUUAAGUCAGGGGUGAAAUCCUGGAGCUCAACUCCAGAACUGCCUUUGAUACUGAGAAGCUUGAGUCCGGGAGAGGUGAGUGGAACUGCGAGUGUAGAGGUGAAAUUCGUAGAUAUUCGCAAGAACACCAGUGGCGAAGGCGGCUCACUGGCCCGGUACUGACGCUGAGGUGCGAAAGCGUGGGAGCAACAGG
rnacentral:rRNA from 1 species